GGAAGCUUGGGCUACUCUUUGUGACUUCUAUUCAAGAUUUGGACUCCAAACCCGGAGUACCACCUCGACGCGAGAAUUAGAAGCACUAUUGUGGAGUACGAGUGAAGCGUGAGAAGUGUAAAGACUAGCG